rnacentral:rRNA from 1 species
UACGGAGGGUGCGAGCGUUGUCCGGAAUCACUGGGCGUAAAGGGCGCGUAGGCGGCCUGAUAAGUAGGGGGUGAAAUCCUGAGGCUUAACCUCAGGGCUGCCUUCUAAACUGUCAGGCUCGAGCACAGUAGAGGCAGGUGGAAUUCCCGGUGUAGCGGUGGAAUGCGUAGAUAUCGGGAGGAACACCAGUGGCGAAGGCGACUACCUGGCCUGUUUCUUGACGCUGAGGCGCGAAAGCUAGGGGAGCAAACGGG